UACGAAGGGGGCUAGCGUUGCUCGGAAUCACUGGGCGUAACGGGUGCGUAGGCGGGUCUUUAAGUCAGGGGUGAAAUCCUGGAGCUCAACUCCAGAACUGCCUUUGAUACUGAAGAUCUUGAGUCCGGGAGAGGUGAGUGGAACUGCGAGUGUAGAGGUGAAAUUCGUAGAUAUUCGCAAGAACACCAGUGGCGAAGGCGGCUCACUGGCCCGGUACUGACGCUGAGGCACGAAAGCGUGGGGAGCAAACAGG
rnacentral:rRNA from 1 species